rnacentral:tRNA from 1 species
GGAGGAGUGCGCCGAAUUGGUAAGGCAGCGGAUUGCUAAUCCGUAUCCCGCUAAUAACGGGAUUGUGGGUUCGAGUCCCACCUCCUCCGCCU